rnacentral:tRNA from 1 species
GGGGGUGUAGCUUAAACCCCACUAAAGCACAACACUGAAAAUGUUAAGAUAGAACAAACUCGCUCCCA